AUGCACGUGAUGUGGCACAACACCGGCAAUACCUUGCUGGUGAUGGUCAACAGCCGGCAGACGGGCAGCAAAAAGGUUCUCGUGCUGCACACCAACAAGAACUUCGACCAGCAGAGGACCAACUGGGUGAUGCACCAGUACCACCCCGGGGACCUGGAGCAAGAGAAGGAGCGGGAGCUGGUCCUCUGCAAGAUUUUCUACCAGACGAACACUAGGGCCAGGAGUAAAAAGAUUAUAAGUCGAGAAAGUUUCAACUGGGCUGUAGACUGCCCAGGCUUGGUUUUGUUUUUAACAGGCCCAGCCCAUGACGACAAUGGGGCACAAAGAUCCAGCAGGUCCGCCGCGGCUGGCUUCGUCCAUCCCGACGACCAGAUCGAGCUGGGACGCCCUCGAACCGUCGCCACCAACUGUCUUCUCCGCCACGGUCGUCGCCGCCUCUCCGCUCGAUUCGCCGCCUACGAGCCUCCCCUGAGCCCGCUGCCCUCCCCUACAGAUUCGCCGUGA
rnacentral:rRNA from 1 species